rnacentral:rRNA from 2 species
UUGCCCUAGUAACGGCGAGUGAAGCGGCAACAGCUCAAAUUUGAAAUCUGGCGUCUUUGGCGUCCGAGUUGUAAUUUGCAGAGGGCGCUUUGGCAUUGGCAGCGGUCCAAGUUCCUUGGAACAGGACGUCACAGAGGGUGAGAAUCCCGUACGUGGUCGCUAGCCUUUACCGUGUAAAGCCCCUUCGACGAGUCGAGUUGUUUGGGAAUGCAGCUCUAAAUGGGAGGUAAAUUUCUUCUAAAGCUAAAUACUGGCCAGAGACCGAUAGCGCACAAGUAGAGUGAUCGAAAGAUGAAAAGCACUUUGGAAAGAGAGUUAAAAAGCACGUGAAAUUGUUGAAAGGGAAGCGCUUGCAGCCAGACUUGCCUGUAGUUGCUCAUCCGGGUUUUUACCCGGUGCACUCUUCUAUAGGCAGGCCAGCAUCAGUUUGGGCGGUUGGAUAAAGGUCUCUGUCAUGUACCUCUCUUCGGGGAGAACUUAUAGGGGAGACGACAUGCAACCAGCCUGGACUGAGGUCCGCGCAUCUGCUAGGAUGCUGGCGUAAUGGCUGUAAGCGGCCCGUCUUGAAACACGGACCAAGGAGUCUAACAUCUAUGCGAGUGUUUGGGUGUCAAGCCCGAGCGCGUAAUGAAAGUGAACGGAGGUGGGAACCUUUCGGGGUGCACCAUCGACCGAUCCUGAUGUCUUCGGAUGGAUUUGAGUAAGAGCAUAGCUGUUGGGACCCGAAAGAUGGUGAACUAUGCUUGAAUAGGGUGAAGCCAGAGGAAACUCUGGUGGAGGCUCGCAGCGGUUCUGACGUGCAAAUC